UUCCGGUUGAUCCUGCCGGACCCGACUGCUAUCAGAGUGGGACUAAGCCAUGCGAGUUAACGCAGCAAUGCGUGGCACACGGCUCAGUAACACGUAGUCAACAUGCCCAGGGGACGUGGAUAACCUCGGGAAACUGAGGAUAAACCGCGAUAGGCCAAGAUUUCUGGAAUGGAUCAUGGCUGAAACCUAUAUGGCCCCUGGAUUGGACUGCGGCCGAUCAGGCUGUUGGUGAGGUAAUGGCCCACCAAACCUGUAACCGGUACGGGCUCUGAGAGGAGGAGCCCGGAGAUGGGCACUGAGACAAGGGCCCAGGCCCUAUGGGGCGCAGCAGGCGCGAAACCUCUGCAAUAGGCGAAAGCUUGACAGGGUUACUCUGAGUGAUGCCCGUUAAGGGCAUCUUUUGGCACUUCUAAAAAUAGUGUAGAAUAAGGGGUGGGCAAGUCUGGUGUCAGCCGCCGCGGUAAUACCAGCACCCCGAGUGGUCGGGACGAUUAUUGGGCCUAAAGCAUCCGUAGCCGGUUCUGCAAGUCUUCCGUUAAAUCCACCUGCUCAACAGAUGGGCCGCGGGGGAUACUACAGGGCUAGGAGGCGGGAGAGGCAAGCGGUACUCGGUGGGUAGGGGUAAAAUCCUCUGAUCCACCGAAGACCACCAGUGGCGAAGGCGGCUUGCCAGAACGCGCUCGACGGUGAGGGAUGAAAGCUGGGGGAGCAAACCGGAUUAGAUACCCGGGUAGUCCCAGCUGUAAACGAUGCAGACUCGGUGAUGGGUUGGCUUUGAGCCAACCCAGUGCCGCAGGGAAGCCGUUAAGUCUGCCGCCUGGGGAGUACGGUCGCAAGACUGAAACUUAAAGGAAUUGGCGGGGGAGCACCACAAGGGGUGAAGCCUGCGGUUCAAUUGGAUUCAACGCCGGA
rnacentral:rRNA from 1 species